rnacentral:sRNA from 1 species
GCUGGGCGGGGUGGCUCAUACCUGUAAUCCCAGUGGUUCAGGAGGCUGAGACAGGAGGAUUGCGCUUUGAAAGCCAGCCUCGGAAACAGCAAGGCGCUAAGCAACUCAGUGAGACCCUGUCUCUA